GUGCACAUUUCAUUGACUUGCUCCCUGUACUGUGCAGAGUGAAGUUAUUUCUUAUGUGCUAAAUGAAAAUGAAGGCUAAUUAGCAGUGUAACUAAAUACAGGUAGUUACUGCUGCCAGUCCCCUUCAGACAUGC
ensembl:snoRNA